UGUGUAGGCGGCUGAUUAAGUAGGGUGUGAAAGGCUCCGGCCUAACCGGAGCAUUGCGCUCUAAACUGAUCGGCUUGAGUGAGAUAGGGGUGUGCGGAACUUCCAGUGGAGCGGUGAAAUGUGUUGAUAUUGGAAGGAACGCCGGUGGCGAAAGCGGCACACUGGGUCUUAACUGACGCUGAGACAACGAAAGGCCAGGGAGGCAACG
rnacentral:rRNA from 1 species